UACGUAGGGGGCAAGCGUUGUCCGGAUUUACUGGGCGUAAAGAGCGCGUAGGCGGAAGCUUAAGUGUGGCCUGAAAGCCCCCGGCUCAACCGGGGAAGGUGGCUGCAAACUGGGCUUCUUGAGGGGGAUAGGGGAAAGUGGAAUUCCGGGUGUAGCGGUGAAAUGCGUAGAGAUCCGGAGGAACACCAGUGGCGAAGGCGGGUUGCUGGGCUGACACUGACGCUGAGGCGCGAAAGCGUGGGGAGCGAACGGG
rnacentral:rRNA from 1 species